GCUGGGCAUGGUGGCGCAUGCCUGUAAUCCCAGCUGCUUAGGAGGCUGAGGCAGGAGAAUCGCUUGAACCCGGGAGGCGGAAGUUGUGGUGAGCCGAGAUUGCACCACUGCACUCCAGCCUGGGCGACAGAGUGAGACUCUGUCUCAA
ensembl:misc_RNA Metazoa_SRP Metazoan signal recognition particle RNA